UAUCUCUGUAGAGUCUGCAUAUCAAUAAGCGGAGGAAAAGAAACUAACUAAGGAUUCCCUCAGUAACGGCGAGUGAAGCGGGAAGAGCUCAAAUUUGAAAUCUUCAAGGUUCUACCUUGACGAAUUGUAGUUUAAAGAAGUGUUUUCUGUUAGAGUUGAGUAGCAAAAGUUCCUUGGAAUAGGGACAUCAUAGAGGGUGAGAAUCCCGUAUUUGGCUUAUUCAUUCUAGCUUUGUGAUACACUUUCAAAGAGUCGGAUUGUUUGGGAAUGCAGUCCAAAAUGGGUGGUAAAUUUCAUCUAAAGCUAAAUAUUGGCGAGAGACCGAUAGCGAACAAGUACCGUGAGGGAAAGAUGAAAAGAACUUUGAAAAGAGAGUUAAACAGUACGUGAAAUUGUCAAAAGGGAAGCGUUUGACACCAGUGUUGUUUUCUCGAAAAUCAAUUAAAAAAGGUCGGAUUUUGUGUAUUGCUUAAGACCUUAUCAGCUUACUUACUCUUUUCUUGUCUUUUUUAAUGCACUUUUCGUUUAACAAGUCAACAUCAAGUUUCUUUUGUUGUAAAAGAGGUCAUUGGAAGGUGGCUUUCACUUUCGGAUGAAAGUGCUUUAUAGCCUUUGGCUUCUGCAAUCGGAGAGACUUGAGGUCUGCAGCGUAGACUCCUUCGGGGCUUAGAUACAUUAGAUGCUAAGCUUAUAGCUUUUUUAUAGACAACUUGUUGACUAUAAUUAAGUCAUUGUAGGCUUACUCGCUUAUGCGCUAUUUUACCUACGCUUAGGAUGUUGAAGAUGUAGCGACAUCAU
rnacentral:rRNA from 1 species